UACGUAGGUGGCAAGCGUUGUCCGGAAUUAUUGGGCGUAAAGCGCGCGCAGGUGGUUCUUUAAGUCUGAUGUGAAAGCCCACGGCUCAACCGUGGAGGGUCAUUGGAAACUGGGGAACUUGAGUACAGAAGAGGAAAGUGGAAUUCCAAGUGUAGCGGUGAAAUGCGUAGAGAUUUGGAGGAACACCAGUGGCGAAGGCGACUUUCUGGUCUGUAACUGACACUGAGGCACGAAAGCGUGGGGAUCAAACAGG
rnacentral:rRNA from 1 species